GACGAACGCUGGCGGCGUGCCUAAUACAUGCAAGUCGAACGCAGUGGGGACGGGUGCGUAACACGUGGGUAACCUCCCAUCAGAGGGGAUAAAACUUGGAAACAGGUGCUAAACCGAUACUGAUGGAUGUACCCGCGGUGCAUGAGCUAGUUGGUGGGGGAACGGCUCACCAAGGCCACGAUGCAUAGACGACCUGAGAGGUUGAGCGGCCACACUGGGACUGAGACACGGCCCAGACGCCUACGGGAGGCAGCAGUAGGGAAUCUUCGGAAAUGGACGAAAGUCUGACCGAGCAACGCCGCGUGAGUGAAGAAGGUUUUCGGAUCGUAAAACUCUGUGGUUAGAGAAGCGGUAACUAACCAGAAAGCCACGGCUAACUACGUGCCAGCAGCCGCGGUAAUUC
rnacentral:rRNA from 1 species